rnacentral:misc_RNA from 1 species
GAUGAAGAACGUAGCGAAAUGCGAUACUUGGUGUGAAUUGCAGAAUCCCGUGAACCAUCGAGUCUUUGAACGCAAGUUGCGCCCGAAGCCAUUAGGCCGAGGGCACGCCUGCCUGGGCGUCACACGUCGUUGCCCCCCCAUCUACUCCUUCGGGAUUGCGGGGGGCGGAUGAUGGCCUCCCGUGCGCCUCGUCGUGCGGUUGGCAUAAAUGCCAAGUCCUCGGCGACGCACGCCACGACAAUCGGUGGUUGCGAAACCUCGGUUGCCCGUCGUGUGCGGUCGUCGCGCAUCGAGGGCUCGAAAAAAUUGCCGAGCUCUGUUUCGGCUUUCAACGCGACCCCAGGUCAGGCGGGGUUACCCGCUGAAUUUAAGCAUAUCAAUAAGCGGAGGA